UCCAGCCUUGACAGGGAAACAGGUCUACAUAUGAAUGGCAGGUCCUGGUUGAAGAUAAAUAAUUGAAGGGCUAAUUCCUGCCACUGCAGGAAGCAGGAAGAGAGGGAGAGAGGAGGGAAGUUAGGGACCACCACUAAGGUCCAGGACCCUAGCGAGGGAGGUGGAAAACACUGGGAGGGAUGGACGCUUCCACAGUCUCUUUCUCCAUUGAGUGCACCGUCACUGUACUUCCCCAAAUUACCUCCUGUAGUAAGGUAUUUACAGCUUGCCACCCCAAACCAAGAUGUUAGUUGUGACCAUUAUGACAAAGUAUUCCACUCUCUCUAAUUGGUCUUGUCCUGGCAUGGAUGGCCAUCUGGAGCAUUCUUUUCAAAAUAUGCCACAAUUCCAAAACUGAACUGUCAAAGAGCAGAGCCCUGAGAGAACAAGGAAGGAGAGGUAAGCUUUACAGGCUUACCUGGAGACUCCCUGCGGGGUCCAUGAGGCAUUUCUAGGCUCUUCCAGGCACCAGGGCAGGGACCAAAAGGGCUACUGACAUCACAUUUUGCUGACUGUCCCUCAAGAUGUACAUAUCCAUGGAGGCGGGGGAGAAAGAUCCCAUCCCCUUUUGAGUAAACACAUACAUUUGAUUCCCUUUCCUAUUAAGCCACAUGACCUCAAACUGCAUUUUGUUUUCCACAAUUUUCGAUAUUUCUGAAGCUUUCUGCAAUAACCCUGCAUUACAUUUAUAAUAGGAAUGGGUAUUAAACUUUCAUUUGUUUUUCAGGGACAAUCUGGAAAUAAGAUGCCCAAGAAGGUAAUGAAGUGGUUGGUGUGCAGUAAGAAAGAUGUCAGCUCUAGCAGAAAUGCCUCUCCCAGGUUGGAACCCUUCUCACUGAUAUUUUCAGAUGUGAAAGCAACUCCCACUGAAAUUUUUAUUGAAAAUUAAUCCAACCUAUCAAUGAACCUAGGAUGAACUGGCCUCUUUCAAAAUUGUCUUCUGGUCUGGAAGUUUUGCAUUCUGCGCUACCUUUAUCCUCAUCAGUGGAAAUUUACUCCUUAUUGAAUCAUUCCUAGCGUGUUAAGCCUUCGUAAUUGUUUUAGGUAGGACGGUGUUCUCUAUUUUAUAUUUAAACUGAUUAUCAAUGUUAAAUUGGGCAAAGUGCUUACUUUGUAUAUUUGUUCAUAGUCACCUGUCUUUCCAAUUUGUUAUUAGUUCCAAGAGUCUGUGGCCUGAUUCUCUUAGGUUUUCUGAGUAGACAAUUGUCUUAACUGUAAGUAGUGGAACUUUUGAUUUUCUUUCUGGUCACCCAUCUUACUUCUGCUUCCUAUCUUUCUCUGUUGGCUAGAAUAUCCAGGACAGUAUUAAUAUAGUGAGACAAGGUAUUUUUAUCUCAUUCCUGAUUUUGACUAGACUACAUCUGGUAUUUUCCCUUUAAAUAUGAUAUAUGCUAUUGUUUAAUAUAAAUAUUCUUUAUUACUUAAAGAAUCCUGU
rnacentral:lncRNA from 1 species